CUGGAAUAUUUGAGGAUGGGGUGGCAAAAACUGGAAAAAGAUUUUUAACAGAAAGUCAGAGAUGCCAAAGAUUACCUUCCUUUUUAUUCAGGUAAACUGACAAACUAUCCUGUAAGGUCGCGUAAGGAUGUGGCCUCCACUCACCCACUCCCAGCCCAUUUUUGUGCCAGUCUUGCCAUGGUCUUCUGGGUAAUCCUGAAACUAGGACUCUCUUUCUCAAUCAGCCAACAAGAAGCCUAGUGAGAGCCAAAGGAGGACAACUGCAGCAUCAGUCAAUCAGCAAGUGUGGGGGACUCUGGGGACAGAAUUUAGAAGAUCUCCUUUCUCUUCAUUACUUGUCUUCUGUGUACAAUGCUUUAUUACCUUCACAUAAGCAAAGGGCUUGGUGGAGAGCAGAGAGCAAAUAGAUAAUAUAAGAAUCUCACCCCCAAA
ensembl:lncRNA novel transcript